GGGUUGUGAGGUUAAGCGAAUAAGCGUACACGGUGGAUGCCUAGGCAAUCAGAGGCGAUGAAGGACGUGCUAAUCUGCGAAAAGCGUCGGUAAGGUGAUAUGAACCGUUAUACCCGACGAUAUCCGAAUGGGGAAACCCAGUAUCCAAUGGAUACUAUCAUUAACUGAAUCCAUAGGUUAAUGAGGCGAACCGGGAGAACUGAAACAUCUCAGUACCCCGAGGAAAAGAAAUCAACCGAGAUUCCCCUAGUAGCGGCGAGCGAACGGGGAGCAGCCCAGAGUCUUAAUCAAUAGCAGUGUCAGGAGAACGGUCUGGAAAGUCCGGCAGUAAAGGGUGAUAGCCCCGUAUCUGAAGAUGCUGUUAUUGUGAACUCGACGAGUAGGGCGGGACACGUGUUAUCCUGUCUGAAUAUGGGGGGACCAUCCUCCAAGGCUAAAUACUCCUGAUUGACCGAUAGUGAACCAGUACCGUGAGGGAAAGGCGAAAAGAACCCCGGCGAGGGGAGUGAAAAAGAACCUGAAAC
rnacentral:rRNA from 1 species